AUGCCAGGGCCGACAGCUGGCUCGGCUCCCGGGACCUUGCACAUCUCGAGGAGCUCCGGCUCAGCUACGAAUACAACGCUCACAACAGUACCCUGCCACCGUCCGUGUUCAGCUCUGCGCCCGCACUCCGCGUGGCCUCUUUCGGCCGCUGCCGUCUGCCGGCCAACCUGGCCGUGGACUUCCCGCUCCUCCAGCAGCUCACCCUGUGGAUGGUCACCCUAA
rnacentral:rRNA from 1 species